rnacentral:rRNA from 1 species
AACGAACGCUGGCGGCAUGCCUAACACAUGCAAGUCGAACGAGACCUCCGGGACUAGUGGCGCAUGGGUGCGUAGCGCGUGGGAACCUGCCCUUAGGUUCGGAAUAACUCCCUGUAGGGGGUGCUAAUACCGGAUAAUGUCUUCUAACCAAAGAUUUAUCGCGCUUGGAUGGGCCGGCGUUGGUUUAGCUUGUUGGUAGGGUAAAAGCCUACCAAGGCGUCGUUACAUAGCUGGUAUGAGAGCAUGGGCCGCCACUCUUGGACUAAGACACGGCCGAGAAUCCUACGGGAGGCGGGAGAGGGGAAUACUGGCAAAUCGGGUAAGGGCUGAUCCAGCACUGCCGGGUGAGUGAUGAAGGCCGUAGGGUUGUACAGCUCUUUUACCCGGGAUGAUACUGACAGUACCGGGAGAAUAAGCUCCGGCUAACUCCGUG